rnacentral:rRNA from 1 species
AUAGGGUGCAAGCGUUGUCCGGAAUUAUUGGGSGUAAAGAGCUCGUAGGUGGUUUGUUACGUCGGAUGUGAAAACCUGAGGCUCAACCUCAGGCCUGCAUUCGAUACGGGCAAACUAGAGUUUGGUAGGGGAGACUGGAAUUCCUGGUGUAGCGGUGGAAUGCGCAGAUAUCAGGAGGAACACCAAUGGCGAAGGCAGGUCUCUGGGCCAAUACUGACACUGAGGAGCGAAAGUGUGGGGAGCAAACAGGAUUAGAUACCCUGGUAGUCCACACCGUAAACGGUGGGCACUAGUUGUGGGAACCUUCCACGGUUUCUGCGACGCAKCUAACGCAUUAAGUGCCCCGCCUGGGGAGUACGAUCGCAAGAUUA